GGCCCAAAAACUUCCAAAUUAACACCAUCCACCUCCCCAAGCUCCUCUUUCCGAAUCUAGGCCUGGCUUCUUUCAAAUCCCUGUCAAUCUUCCCGAACAUCCAAUUGAAGUGGAGGCUUCUCCGUUAUGUGCAUCGACGUCGGCUCCAAUGACCACCAAAAAUACACCCCUUAACCACCAGACCUCCCUCAUCCCAUAUCCAUCAUCCUUUUCCUUCAAAUAUCAUUCAAACUCUUUGAAUUUUGAAUCCAUAAUUCAAAUUGAAAAUGGAUUUGAAACCCAAUAAUGCAAGGCUUUUGCUCCAGUUUCCUGAGGCCCAAUAUCAUCAUGUACUAACGUUAUUUACCUGCUUGAACAAAGAACAUGUGAUUGAUGUUACAUCGAGGAAAGAUUGGAAGGUCACCUUUGAAUCCAAGUGUAUCUGGUGAGACUUUAUUUUGUUUUAUUAUUAUUAUUAUUUCAUCCUUUUCUUCUUUUCUUUGUACUUGUUCUUACGAUUCACAACCUCCCUUCUACCUCAUCUCUUCUCUUCUGUUUCGUUUAGUGAAAUAAGGUUUUAGCUUAAUUGAGUGCUGACUUUACAGCUCUUGUUUAGUCAUGCUCUUUUCUAGGUAUAUUUCGUGAUUCUUUUUAGUCUGUUUGGCUUGUAUCAACAAGUAUGUUCAGCUCCUAGUUUCACUACUUUAUGAUCAUCCAUCUAGUUUAUUGAAUUAGGUCAUUUAAAGGUAAGUUGAUUAGCAAUAGUUUAAGUUUUUUCAGAUAUAAAAUUAUUCCGAUGUUGGUGAUGUUAGUUAGAUACUCGAAUUAUUUUGUUGGUUAGGUCAUCGUGUGAGCUUCAGGUCAUUAUCGACCCACUUGAAAAAGACAGCCCAAUUCAAUUGCAUAGGCCAUUGGGUCCUUUGACCCAUUCUGGUUUUGAAAAAGUAAUAACAUGGUGUUGCGAGGGUAGUCUAGGUAUUUUGGGAGAUGGGGAAUCUUUCAUAACCACCUGGGAAGCUUCUAGUGAGGGGUUAGAGUGAAUUUUCAGAUGUGAAGUUAUAUAACUUGGGUAAGAAGUUGAAAAUUGGGGGUGACUUAAGCUAAAACAAAACUAAAAAGGGACUAAGGGUGCAAAAUUAGUUCUGCAAGGAUGCCUUAUGGUUGAGUCUAUAUAAUGCACUAUUCUUGCCUUUGAAGGAAAGAAAGAUAGAGCAGAAAAUACACAGAUCUAAGAGAAUUUAGAGACCUUAAGUUAUAAAGUUCUGAGAAAAAUACUCAUGACUAAAAAUCUAAAAAAUAUGACUCCAUUAAUUUAUGUGGUUUGAGUGUUGAAACUUUUAGUGAUUGAAACAUCCUUGAUUCCUUCCAAGAUUGAGAUAGUUUAAAUUUGGAAUUCUUCAUGUUUUGGGUCAAAUUCUGUUGGGUAGUUACUGUUCCAUGGUUUCUGUUGGCUAGUUCUGUUAUUUUGCUGGGUGUGUGUGUUAAAUUCUGCUGCUGGUCUUACUGUUGUAGACUACUGAUCCCUUUACCUUUUUGUUUCCUACUUUAUCCAGGUAUUGCUUGACACUUAUGGAUAUCACUUAAAUAUAAUGGAGAGUUUGACUCUGGAAUGUGAAAGUGCU
rnacentral:lncRNA from 1 species